CGAUAGGAACGAAAGCAACAAAGCGACAAGGAAAGCUUCGAGACAGCAAAAAAGUAUCUCAGAGUCGAGUGAUACCUUUAGAAUUACUGUAAUUACUUUUUUUAUCAUUUCAUUUUUCAUUUUUCAUUUUUCAUUUUUUUUUAUUC
rnacentral:ribozyme from 12 species